rnacentral:rRNA from 1 species
GACGAACGCUGGCGGCGUGCUUAACACAUGCAAGUCGAACGGAAAGGCCCUGCUUUUGUGGGGUGCUCGAGUGGCAAACGGGUGAGUAACACGUGAGUAACCUGCCCUUGACUUUGGGAUAACUUCAGGAAACUGGGGCUAAUACCGGAUAGGAGCUCCUGCUGCAUGGUGGGGGUUGGAAAGUUUCGGCGGUUGGGGAUGGACUCGCGGCUUAUCAGCUUGUUGGUGGGGUAGUGGCUUACCAAGGCUUUGACGGGUAGCCGGCCUGAGAGGGUGACCGGCCACAUUGGGACUGAGAGACGGCCCAGACUCCUACGGGAGGCAGCAGUGGGGAAUAUGGCACAAUGGGCGGAAGCCUGAUGCAGCAACGCUGCGUGCGUGAUGACGGCCUUCGGGUUGUAAACCGCUUUCGCCUGUGACGAAGCGUGAGUGACGGUAAUGGGUAAAGAAGCACCGGCUAACUACGUG